CCUUUCCACUACAGCUUCCCUUCCCCUGAUUCUCUGGAGCUUUCUGGAGUGUCCCUGGAACAUAACUCUACAUCACCUGCAACACUGCAGCCCAUGGCUGAAAAGACUGUAAAAGGGGAGAAAGCGACAUCAUUGAGCAGGAAGGAUAUGGAAGAGUUGAAAGAAAAACCCAGAAUUUCCAUAAAAAGCACUGGACACAAACAAUAUAUGAAAAUGUAGAGUGCACUUCAAUCUGGAGAGUAUAUGGAGAACUAUUUCACCCCUGGAGAAAAUAUCUUAAUAAUUUUCUAUAGUUUCUUAAAUUUGAUAACAGAAGAGAGAAGAUGCUACUGACAAUGAAUUUUACCCACGUGAGCAGAUGUGGUUGAAAAAAAAACCUGAUGCUUGACCGACAGAUCCUACCACAAUGAGCAAACAUGCAGACUCUUCCCUGUUGUUCUGAUAAGUAUUCUGUUUGCAGUUCCUGCACUAUUUUCAGUUUUGCAUAUUCCAUAAAGAAAAACCUUGUGCAUUGUUCACUCAACAAUAGGCUUCUCUGUCAGAUGCCAUGGUGUCUCAAUAUACAGCUGCCAUACUGCCUUAUAAAAUGGUUCCUUUGCUUCCCUAUGCUACUUUUUAAUAUUUAUUAAGCACUUACUAUGUAUC